rnacentral:lncRNA from 10 species
CUCAUGCCUGUAAUCUCAGCACUUUGGGAGGCCAAGACAGGCGGAUCACUUGAGGUCAGGAGUUUGAGACCAGCCUGGCCAACAUGGUAAAAAUGAAACCCCAUCUCUACUAAAAAUACAAAAAUUAGCUGGGUGCGGUGGCACAUGCCUGUAAUCCCAGCUACUCGGGAGGCUGAAGCAGGAAAAUCGCUUGAACCCGGGAGGCAGAGGUUGCAAUGAGCUGAGGUCUCACCACUGCACUCCAGCCUGGGUAACAGAGCAAGAC